GCUGGGCAUGGUGGCGCAUGCCUGUAAUCCCAGCUACUUGGGAGGCUGAGGCAGGAGAAUCACUUGAACCCGGGAGGCAGAGGUUGCAGUGAGCCAAGAUCACGCCACUGCAAUCCAGCCUGGGAGACAGAGCAAGACUCCGUCUCAA
rnacentral:SRP_RNA from 1 species